UACGGAGGAUGCGAGCGUUAUCCGGAUUCAUUGGGUUUAAAGGGUGCGUAGGCGGAGUGAUAAGUCAGUGGUGAAAUCCUGCGGCUUAACCGUAGAACUGCCGUUGAUACUGUCAUUCUUGAGUACAGUUGAGGUGGGUGGAAUGUGUAAUGUAGCGGUGAAAUGCAUAGAGAUUACACAGAACGCCAAUUGCGAAGGCAGCUCACUAAGCUGUUACUGACGCUGAGGCACGAAAGCGUGGGGAUCAAACAGGAUUAGAAACCCCAGUAGUCC
rnacentral:rRNA from 1 species